UCCCUGGUGGUCCAACGGUUAGGACUCUGUGCUCUCAUUGCCGAAGGCCCAGGUUCGAUCCCUGGUCAGGGAA
rfam:TPA: Bos taurus chromosome 25, whole genome shotgun sequence.